rnacentral:rRNA from 1 species
UACAGAGGUGGCAAGCGUUGUUCGGAAUUACUGGGCGUAAAGGGCGCGUAGGCGGCCUUCUUAGUCGGACGUGAAAUCCCCAGGCUCAACUUGGGAACUGCGUCCGAUACUGGAGGGCUCGAGUGCGGGAGAGGGAUGUGGAAUUCCAGGUGUAGCGGUGAAAUGCGUAGAUAUCUGGAGGAACACCGGUGGCGAAGGCGGCAUCCUGGACCGACACUGACGCUGAUGCGCGAAAGCUAGGGGAGCAAAC